AACUUGAACUUCUAGAAACUGGUCGAAAUAGGUCACAGACUCGACUCGUGACAUUUGGAAUAAAACUUAUGACUUAGUGGCUGAGGGCUUCUAAAUCCAAACUGAGAGGUCUCAGGUUGAAAUCUCAGUGAAGACAGUUUGAAUUUAAGGAGUCCACCCUACUCUAAUAGGUACCUGACAUUAGUUAAGGAAAAUAAAGGCGGUUGUUCGUUAUACUGGCCACAUGACACCCUUGCUGUAAGACAUAGAAACAACUGACCUUUACAUCAUCUGCCCUAUAAGGUCUGAAAAAGUACUUUACUUAUCUCACAUUCAUGGCAAACUAAAAAAAAAAAAAUAAUAACAUUCAUUAACUUGAAAGAUAAAAAAAAAA